UACUGUGAGGUAAAUCGAUUAAUGUUUUUGGUAAGCUGCAAAAUUUGGACUGCAAAGUGCAUGAUUUCUGUGCCCUCGAUAUUUUUGGGCUUAAUAGGCCAAAAUUGGAAUGAUGGGCCAACGGGCCCAAUUCGGAAAUCCCCAACCAUAGUGGGCUUGGAGCUGUGAGGGAAUUCGGAGUGGCCACCCGUUCUGAAAGUUUGAUUUUCUUCUGGUGAGCUGGACAUACUUUUAUUUACGUUUGAAGUUUUGAGUUUUUAAAUGUAAUAAGGCCGCUUAAUUAUUUUUGAUGGUUUUAAUAUGUAUUACUAAGAUAGGUAUUACUUAUUUUAACUGUUGAAAUUGGAUAGCUUUAGGGCGCGUUUUCAAAAACAACAAUUGAUUUCAAAAUAACACGACAAUAAGCAAAGCUUCCGCAAUGAAAA